AGCUAGCCACGAGCAAAAUCAAUAUUGAUUCACUUGUACAACUACCGAUUAAGUAGUUUAGAUUAAGAUAAAGAGGCCUUGAGCUUCGUGAGAUCCAGACGCGGGCAUUAACUGAUUCGAUGGAUAGUUUCACCGUAAACAAAUUUAGUGAUACAGUACAACGGUAUUUAGUUUAUCGACGAGCGUGACCGUAGAAGAUUUAUCUCGGUUGAUUUCUUGGUAGAGCUGAUGUGGAAAAAUACUGUUCCAAAGUUUUGAAUCCAUAAUCGAUUCUUAAUUUAACUAUCACGAGGGAAUAACAAUUUUCCGCUAAUAAAAUUUGUUUACUAAUAUUAAAAAAAAAAGAAAACUUCUUCCAGUCCAUAGAAGUUUUCAAUGAAACACGAUCAACUCCUAAUUUAACCGCUACAAAGAUAAUAAUAAAUCAUAAUCUUCACCGUUUCGUGGAAAAUUCAGGGUCAUUCCUGGAAGAGCAAUUGCACGGCACGAGAAAAAAGGAAACGGGACCUUUGCCUCCCUUCAAUUCAGAGUAUACUCUGCACAUGUCUGGGGAUGCACGAAAAUGGGUACGCUGGUCUCGGUGGGGCCAGUCACAUAUGGUGGUGAGGCUUAUGGGGUGCCCCUCGUUCCUCGAGGCGGCACAACAAAAAAAUAAACCAGCUUCCUUCCGAUGGGGCUACCUUCCACGCUCAGACUGGGCCUAGGCCAUCCGUUAUGUACACGUACGAAGCCAUAAUAAUUAUACAGAUUUAUUCGGCCGGACGAAAUCACGACCGGUAGAAAUGUACGUAGGCCGCAAGACUAGUUAAAAGUUUCAAAUUGAACGUGCAUUCCUAUAUCGUUGGAUUUGACUGGUCACACCUUUCGGUACCUCCAUUAUACCAUGUAAUUUACUGCUUUGACCCACUGGAACUUCAAUUCACAAACUGAUGGUUCGUUACCAUUUUAUCCGUUUCGCAAUUGUUCGAAUUCUGACGUCCUAUGGAUUUCAUUAGUUAAUUUAUGCUUCGUAUUUUAUGAUUGGAAGAUUAACAUUAUGCUUGUGUAUAUUGUAUGCUUAUCGUUAUAUACUAUUGGAGCAUGUAACGUUCUGAUCGUAUAAUUUUGUAAUUAAUUAUGCAAAGAGAUUGAAAUUGCAAGUUUAAAAAAUGUGUUAUUCUAUCGAUUGUAUUCUAUGCUGUAAAGCUUGACGAUCACGUAAUUUUUUAAUCAAUUUUGUAAAAGAAAUUGGAAGUGCC
rnacentral:misc_RNA from 1 species